rnacentral:rRNA from 1 species
UGGGGUUGCCCCGGGCGUAAGCGAGCCGAAUGAGGCGAAGUGAGUAAAUCUUGUGGCGAGAAAAGGUGUGUGUAUUGGUUGGGCUGCCCGUACCGCAAACCGACACAGGUAGAUGAGGAGAAGAUCCUAAGGCCAUCGGGAGAAGGGUUGUUAAGGAACUAGGCAAAUUGACCCCGUAACUUCGGGAGAAGGGGUGCCUACGAGAGUAGGCCGCAGAGAAUCGGCCCAAGCAACUGUUUACCAAAAACACAGGUCUCUGCUAAAUCGAAAGAUGACGUAUAGGGGCUGACGCCUGCCCGGUGCUGGAAGGUUAAGAGGAGGACUUAGCGGAAACGCGAAGGCCCGAAUUGAAGCCCCAGUAAACGGCGGCCGUAACUAUAACGGUCCUAAGGUAGCGAAAUUCCUUGUCAGGUAAGUUCUGACCCGCACGAAAGGCGUAAUGAUUUGGGCACUGUCUCAACAGCCCGCCCGGCGAAAUUGCAGUACCGGUGAAGAUGCCGGUUACCCGCAACUAGACGGAAAGACCCCAUGGAGCUUUACUGCAGCUUAAUACUGAGAUUCGGUAAAUCAUGUACAGGAUAGGUGGGAGACUAAGAAGCCAGGCCGUCAGGUUUGGUGGAGUCACCCUUGGGAUACCACCCUUGGUUUGCUGGGUUUCUAACCUGCGGCCCUGAAUCGGGUCGGGGGACACUGUUAGGCGGGCAGUUUGACUGGGGCGGUCGCCUCCUAAAAUGUAACGGAGGCGCUCAAAGGUUGGCUCAGCAUGGAUGGAAACCAUGCAAUGAGUGUAAACGUAUAAGCCAGCCUGACUGCGAGACCGACGGGUCGAGCAGAGACGAAAGUCGGAGUUAGUGAUCCAGUGGUAUGUGAGUGGAAAUGCCAUCGCUCAACGGAUAAAAGCUACCCUGGGGAUAACAGGCUGAUCUCCCCCAAGCGUCCACAGCGACGGGGAGGUUUGGCACCUCGAUGUCGGCUCGUCGCAUCCUGGGGCUGAAUUAGGUCCCAAGGGUUUGGCUGUUCGCCAAUUAAAGCGGCACGCGAGCUGGGUUCAGAACGUCGUGAGACAGUUCGGUCCCUAUCUGUUGCGGGCGUAGGAGAUUUGAAGGGAGCUGACCUUAGUACGAGAGGACCGGGUUGGACGUACCUCUGGUGUACCAGUUGUUCUGCCAAGGGCAUGGCUGGGUAGCUACGUACGGACGAGAUAAACGCUGAAGGCAUCUAAGCGUGAAACUCUCCCUGAGAUAAGAUCUCCACUGAGGCUCGACGUAGACUAUGUCGUUGAUAGGUCAGAGGUGAAAGUGCAGCAAUGCAUGCAGCUGACUGAUACUAAUAAGCCGAAAGCUUGACC